rnacentral:rRNA from 1 species
AACGAACGCUGGCGGCAGGCUUAACACAUGCAAGUCGAGCGCCCCGCAAGGGGAGCGGCAGACGGGUAAGUAACGCGUGGGAAUCUACCCAUCUCUACGGAAUAACGCAUGGAAACGUGUGCUAAUACCGUAUACGUCCUUCGGGAGAAAGAUUUAUCGGAAAUGGAUGAGCCCGCGUUGGAUUAGCUAGUUGGUGGGGUAAAGGCCUACCAAGGCGACGAUCCAAAGACUGUCUGAGAGGAUGAUCAGCCACACUGGGACUGAGACACGGCCCAGACUCCUACGGGAGGCAGCAGUGGGGAAUAUUGGACAAUGGGCGCAAGCCUGAUCCAGCCAUGCCGCGUGAGUGAUGAAGGCCCUAGGGUUGUAAAGCUCUUUCACCGGUGAAGAUAAUGACGGUAACCGGAGAAGAAGCCCCGGCUAACUUCGUGCCAGCAGCCGCGGUAAAAC